UUGAAGAGUUUGAUCAUGGCUCAGAUUGAACGCUGGCGGCAGGCCUAACACAUGCAAGUCGAGCGGUAGCACAGAGAGCUUGCUCUCGGGUGACGAGCGGCGGACGGGUGAGUAAUGUCUGGGAAACUGCCUGAUGGAGGGGGAUAACUACUGGAAACGGUAGCUAAUACCGCAUAACGUCGCAAGACCAAAGUGGGGGACCUUCGGGCCUCAUGCCAUCAGAUGUGCCCAGAUGGGAUUAGCUAGUAGGUGGGGUAACGGCUCACCUAGGCGACGAUCCCUAGCUGGUCUGAGAGGAUGACCAGCCACACUGGAACUGAGACACGGUCCAGACUCCUACGGGAGGCAGCAGUGGGGAAUAUUGCACAAUGGGCGCAAGCCUGAUGCAGCCAUGCCGCGUGUGUGAAGAAGGCCUUCGGGUUGUAAAGCACUUUCAGCGGGGAGGAAGGCGAUAAGGUUAAUAACCUUGUCGAUUGACGUUACCCGCAGAAGAAGCACCGGCUAACUCCGUGCCAGCAGCCGCGGUAAUACGGAGGGUGCAAGCGUUAAUCGGAAUUACUGGGCGUAAAGCGCACGCAGGCGGUCUGUCAAGUCGGAUGUGAAAUCCCCGGGCUCAACCUGGGAACUGCAUUCGAAACUGGCAGGCUAGGGUCUUGUAGAGGGGGGUAGAAUUCCAGGUGUAGCGGUGAAAUGCGUAGAGAUCUGGAGGAAUACCGGUGGCGAAGGCGGCCCCCUGGACAAAGACUGACGCUCAGGUGCGAAAGCGUGGGGAGCAAACAGGAUUAGAUACCCUGGUAGUCCACGCCGUAAACGAUGUCGAUUUGGAGGUUGUGCCCUUGAGGCGUGGCUUCCGGAGCUAACGCGUUAAAUCGACCGCCUGGGGAGUACGGCCGCAAGGUUAAAACUCAAAUGAAUUGACGGGGGCCCGCACAAGCGGUGGAGCAUGUGGUUUAAUUCGAUGCAACGCGAAGAACCUUACCUGGUCUUGACAUCCACAGAACUUUCCAGAGAUGGAUUGGUGCCUUCGGGAACUGUGAGACAGGUGCUGCAUGGCUGUCGUCAGCUCGUGUUGUGAAAUGUUGGGUUAAGUCCCGCAACGAGCGCAACCCUUAUCCUUUGUUGCCAGCGGUCCGGCCGGGAACUCAAAGGAGACUGCCAGUGAUAAACUGGAGGAAGGUGGGGAUGACGUCAAGUCAUCAUGGCCCUUACGACCAGGGCUACACACGUGUUACAAUGGCAUAUACAAAGAGAAGCGACCUCGCGAGAGCAAGCGGACCUCAUAAAGUAUGUCGUAGUCCGGAUUGGAGUCUGCAACUCGACUCCAUGAAGUCGGAAUCGCUAGUAAUCGUAGAUCAGAAUGCUACGGUGAAUACGUUCCCGGGCCUUGUACACACCGCCCGUCACACCAUGGGAGUGGGUUGCAAAAGAAGUAGGUAGCUUAACCUUCGGGAGGGCGCUUACCACUUUGUGAUUCAUGACUGGGGUGAAGUCGUAACAAGGUAACCGUAGGGGAACCUGCGGUUGGAUCACCUCCUU
rnacentral:rRNA from 1 species